rnacentral:misc_RNA from 1 species
AUAUCGAAUGUUUUGCGCAGUGUUGUUAGCUAGUUAGCAGGCAUGCUGGGCCCAACCGGUGCUGCAAAAUACUCAAAUACAUUGUUAAAAUUCGCCAGAAAUUCGCAAGCCAGCGAAAAAUUUGUAAUUACUAGGUAAACAAGCAAACCGCGCGCGUUGCGUUAACAACAAUAAGAUGUAUAUAUGAGAAACUGCACACCGUACACAGACACUUGUCACCAGUAACCCAAUACCAACGCGUACACCGCCACACACACGCAGCAAUGGGACUCGACUUUGAUGUCGUGGAGUACUGCAAAGGUGUGAAAUCAAAACAGUCCCAGCCGCCGUUCGCCUGCCCGGUGCGCGACUGUGAUCGCAGCUAUAAAACACUUGUUGGCCUGCAGGGCCAUCUUACCAACUACGACCACGACAAUCCGCAGCCCCUGACGCCAGUUCUCAAGCCGAAUCGAAAAAGGGCGCGCUCAUCUCGCGCGCUCCACUCAACGCCCAAAGACAACGGCAGUGGCGGCGGUGGCAAUUCCGAGGGCGAAAACGGCUGCGGCAAUGGCAGAACCACCACAAAUCCCGAGUCCUUGGUAUCCUACAACGAACAGGAGGGCACGGUCACCUUUAACAUCGAUGGCAAGAGUGUACGCCUGGGCAUUGAUGAUCCCCUGCCAAUAGUCGAUGAUGAUGAGUUUGCCGAGCUGGUGGAGCGCGGCUGUAUAUUGAAUGCGGAUGCACCGCCGCUGGAGGAGAAUGCAGCGUGGGCACAGGUGCAGGUGCCCGUUGCGAAUGUCCGCGAAAUCGAUGACUACAAUGUGCCUGAUGCGCCGCCCAGGCCCUUGGCCUACUAUCGCUUUAUUGAGAAGUCUGCCGAGGAGCUGGAUGGCGAGAUUGAAUACGAUGUGGAUGAGGAGGAUUCCGCUUGGCUGGAGCACAUGAACGAGCUGCGCGCCCAGCAAAACCUCAAUGCGGUCAGCAUUGAUACUAUGGAGCUGUUAAUGGAUCGCCUCGAGAAGGAAUCUCAUUUUCAGGCAGCGGCUAACGGCACGCCCACUGGCGUCGAGGUGGAUGACGAUGCAGUCUGUUGCAUUUGCUUGGAUGGCGAAUGCCAGAACACCAACGUGAUACUCUUCUGCGACAUGUGCAACCUGGCGGUGCAUCAGGACUGCUAUGGCGUGCCCUAUAUACCGGAAGGCCAGUGGCUGUGCCGACGCUGCCUCCAAUCGCCCAGCAAGGCGGUCAACUGUGUGCUCUGUCCAAAUGCCGGCGGCGCGUUCAAGCAAACGGAUCACGGCCAGUGGGCGCAUGUGGUCUGUGCGCUCUGGAUACCAGAGGUGCGCUUCGCCAACACAGUGUUCCUGGAGCCAAUUGAUUCUAUCGAGACCAUACCGGCUGCGCGCUGGCGCCUCACCUGCUAUGUGUGCAAGGAGAAGGGUCUGGGAGCGUGUAUUCAGUGCCAUCGCAACAGCUGCUAUGCCGCCUUUCAUGUGACCUGUGCGCAGCAGGCGGGCCUCUAUAUGACCAUGGACACGGUCAAGGAUGGCCAUAACGAUAGCUCUGUGCAUGUGCAGAAGUUCGCCUACUGUCACGCCCAUACGCCCGCUGAUGCAAAGCUAAAGACGAACGUACCGGACUUCGAGGACACGCGCAUGAAGAUGCGCGAGGCGCGCAAAGCGCUGGCCAAGAAACGCUCAACGGCGCCGGUAGUUCUAAUACCGACAAUACCGCCGGAUCGUGUGCACGAGAUCGCGGCCAUGGUGCACAUGCAGAAGAAAAAGGAGUUCCUCGAUCGCAUCAUUGCCUACUGGACGUUAAAGCGGCAUUAUCGGAACGGAGUGCCGCUGCUGCGCCGGCUGCAGAGUCAGGGCAACAAUCAUGGCGUGAUCCAGCGCAAUGGCAUCGAGGGCUCACCGGACACGAAGGAGCUGUACCGGCAGCUCAAGUACUGGCAGUGUUUGCGUCAGGACUUGGAACGGGCGCGGUUACUCUGUGAGCUGGUGCGCAAGCGUGAGAAGCUCAAGGUGGCAUUUGUUAAGAUCUCCGAGGAGGUGGUCAUGCUGCAGCUAAAUCCACUGGAGUCGGCAUUGGGCAAACUGCUGGAUGCGCUGGAGACACGCGACACCAUGGAGAUAUUCCGGGAGCCGGUGGACACCAGCGAGGUGCCCGACUAUAUGGAUAUUGUGAAGCAGCCCAUGGAUUUGGGCACCAUGCGCACGAAGCUCAAGGAUUGCAAGUACACUAAACUGGAGCAGCUGGAGGCGGACUUCGAUUUGAUGAUACAGAAUUGUCUGGCGUACAAUAACAAGGAUACGGUAUUCUAUCGAGCUGGGAUACGCAUGCGCGACCAGGCGGCGCCGCUGUUCGUGCAGCUGCGCAAGGAACUACAGCGGGAUGGAUUACUGGAGCGUGGCCAACGCGCUCAUGUGGAUCAUGUGGAGGGCGAAGUGGAGCAGGAGCUGCGACAGCUGCUGGCGAUGCCGCCCAGCGAGGAUGUAGUUCAAAAGCUGCUCAUACUGGCCGACAAGUCACAGGUGCUCAAGAAUCCCAGCUAUCGCACCAAGAAGAUUAAGCAAAUCCGCCUGGAAAUCAAUCGCAUGCGCAAAACUCUGCAAAAAGCGCGCUUUGCAGCGCGAUACUCUUCACAUGCGCACUCCCAAAGUGACGAUGACAAUGAGGAGACGCGUCUUAAACCCUCCAAGAAGCGAACGCGCAAGCGUCUCAAUAGCAGCGCCAUGGAUCUGGACGAAUCGCAGGAGCUGCCGUCGCAGCAACACGAUGAUGAAGACGACGACGAGGAUGACUCUGAUGAUGAUUCAAUGGCUGACGAUGGCGCUAGCAAGGACACCACCCACAUGGCCCAAACACCGCCCUGCAGUCCAGUCAAGAGUCUUAACAAUAGCAGCUCACCUGUGGGCAUUAAUCGAAGGACGGCCAUUUUGUUGACGCGCAAGGCGCAGGCGGCACUCAAGCGCCCAUCGGAGCCCCUGACGACGCCCGUCAAGGAAGAGCACCACAAUUCUCAGUCAUCUAGCACACAAUCGACCAGCGCCAGUUCCAGUUCCACCACAACCGCCGCCACCGCCGCCUCCAGCACGCUGAAUGCAUCGCUUGCUGCCAGUGCCACGCCCACGCCCAGCAGCUUUUCGUUGGCGCACAACAGCACGAAUGCAGCCGGAGUGGGAGCAACCGGCGUCAGUCUAACCUCCACCGCGCUGUCCAUAAGCAACAAGCUAAGCCUAAGCCUGGGUGCGGGCCUGGCGCUGUCCAAGUCUCCUAAGCGGCCGGCGCGCUAUCGCCGUUUGCCUUCGACGUCACCAAAGAAGUCACCGAAUCCAGCGGCUGCAGCAGCAGCAGCGGCGGCGGCGGCGGCGUCGGCAACGACGCCGUUGACAACAACAACCAACCCGUCAAUACCUGCAUUGGCGCCAGUGGAGCCACUGCCCUUUGAGCGCAUUCCAGACAGCUUUCGUGUGUACCGAGGGAACAAUCAGCGGGACGUUAGCGAGAGCGACGAUGCGCCCUCCCAAUCGAGCAGUCCGUGCAGCAGCUGUUCCGACUUCAGUAUGUCCGGCAGCUGUUCGGAUUUUGACAGCGAUGAGGCAAGCGAUGGGGAUGCGCACAGCGAGGAGGGCGACUCGGAUAGCACGAAGGCGAAUGCUAUGCGCGAUGACUCGCAGGAGGAGUGCACCACAGAUGCCAUGGAUCUGCAGCAUGCGAGCCUGAACAAUGCGCAGGGCAAUGGCAACAUGGCCAUCAGCAGCAGCGACAGCAGCUCCGACAGCGACGAUGACGAUGAGGAUGACGAUGAUGACGACGAGGAUGAGGGGCCCAACAGCUCUGAGCUGCUGGAUGCGAAUGCAGUGGGCAAACAGCGUGUGACACGCAGCACACCCACACCGCUGCAGGGACGUGGCGGCGCGAUGGCGGCGGUCCGUGGCAGAGGUAAACGGCGCAGCAAUCUCAGCGAAUCGACCAGCUCGACGGCGACGCCGCCGCCCCUGCUACGCAAGGCGGGUAAACUGCGUUCGGCCACGCCCAACGCGUCGCCGCUUGUAAAUAGCAUAAAGGCGAGACGAAGCACCACCACGGCCACCAGCAACAGCACCCUAACGAAUAACAACAAAAGCAAGUCGCACCACGAGCUGGAGGAGACGGGCACUGUGGCUGCCGUUGCCGGCGAGGUGCAUGUGCGGCACAACAACAGCAGCCAGAAAGCGGCGCUGGAGCCACUGCAGCUGGUUUGGGCCAAGUGUCGUGGCUACCCGUGGUAUCCGGCGCUUAUACUCGAUCCCAAGACGCCCAAGGGUUUUGUGUACAAUGGUGUACCGUUGCCGGCGCCACCAACGGAUGUGCUGGCUCUGCGUCAGAAUUGCCUCGACGAUGUCGUCUUUCUGGUGCUCUUUUUCGAUGUGAAGCGCACCUGGCAAUGGCUGCCGGCCAACAAGCUGGACAUACUGGGCAUAGACAAGCAGCUGGACCAGCAGAAGCUCGUCGAGUCACGCAAGCCGGCAGAGCGCAAGGCCGUCAAGAAGGCGUAUCAGGAUGCGUUGCACUACCAGAGCCAGGUAUCCGAUCUAGAGGGUCAGGGCCCGGAUCCCAUCAUGUGAAAGCUGUUUGCCCAAUUGCAUUUAAAUGUUAAAUGUUAAAUGCGCCCCCGCCUUGUAAACAACCCGUUUCUCGAAAUAGACCAGCCUGGGAGCUGGAUGGCUGGCUGAUGCUACUGUAUUGUUACUGAGAAGGCCCUCCAUAAGUGUAUUUCGUUGACUUUUUCUUAACGUUUCGGAACUUUCCAAUUUUACACUGCAAGUGUUGUUGUUUCAUUUGUUUAUUUAAACAACGAAAAAAGCAAGCAAACAAACAAAAUUAUACAA